rnacentral:tRNA from 1 species
GGGCGAAUAGCUCAGCGGUCAGAGCGCCUGUUUUACACACAGGAGGUCGCAGGUUCGAGACCUGCUUCGCCCA